UGUUAAAAAAAUUCAUCCAUUUCUAUUGUUAAAAGUUAGGGUGAUUAACUAAAAAGCCAAACAAUUAUACGUGACAUGCCAUGUAUACCUCAUGCUGAUGUACAAAGAUCAAUUUUUAACAAUAGAAAUGGAUGAAAUUUUUAACA
rfam:Gossypium raimondii Chr05_contig_1336, whole genome shotgun sequence.